rnacentral:rRNA from 1 species
GGAAUCUUGGACAAUGGGCGAAAGUCUGAUCCAGCCAUGCCGCGUGGAUGAUGAAGGCCUUAGGGUUGUAAAAUCCUUUCAGCGGGGACGAUAAUGAAGGUACCCGCAGCAGAACCCCCGGCUAACUUCGUGCCAGCAGCCGCGGUAAUACGAAGGGGGCUAGCGUUGUUCGGAUUUCCUGGGCGUAACGCGCGUGUAGGCGGGGCGUUAAGUUGGGGGUGAAAUCCCGAGGCUCAACCUCGGAACUGCCUUCAAAACUGGCGACCUGGACUCAAGUAGAGGCAAGUGGAAUUGCGAGUGUAGAGGUGAAAUUCGUAGAUAUUCGCAGGAACACCAGUGGCGAAGGCGACUUGCUGGACUUGUAGUGACGCUGAGACGCGAAAGCGUGGGGAGCAAAC